UACAAGGUCCAUACCGCCAUGUAAACCGUAGUCUAAAAUUGUCUUAUUUUCAAAUUUAGUGAGGGGAGGGGGGGAAACAUGGACAGUGUUUAAAACAUAAUCGCCCAAGCCUGGGAUAUCCCUGGUACUGUCUGAUGCAAUGUCCAGCCACACUUGGUAGGCGGGCGCUUUUGUUUCAAAAAAACUAUUAUGACUGAUCCACAAAUGAUUCUUUGGGGAUCAGUCGUAUCGAUUUUGCUGAUAAGGAGAGCGACCUUUAAAAAGGCAGUUCCUCGUGUGCCUCAGCAGUUCAGAGGGAGAGGACGGAGCAACUGGGACACUUCUGUUUUCGUUUUACGUUGCCUUUUUCUUUAACAACGCCGCUCCGAGAGAUUUGGUGGGUCGUAAACCGAGACCGAUCAAUGGACCAUUCGGCUGCGCGCAAACUGUGCGCUCUUCUCGCGGUGACCCAGCUGCGGUUCGCCACGCUGGUGAUCUCCAAGCCCGCGGCCAACGCGGGGCCACACAUCAAUUCGGGCUGGGACCAGACCAUCAGGUUGAUCCACCUCUACACCACCCAGGCCAAAGGCAGCUUCCUCAGCUACCACCUCCAGAUCCACGAGGACGGCACGGUGGAUGGCAGUCGCGAGAGGACCUCGCACAGUCUCCUUGAGAUGAGGUCGGUGGCUCCGGGCGUGGUGGCGAUCAGAGGCUAUCGAAGCGGCCGCUACCUCUGCAUGGAGAGGAACGGACGGCUACAUGGUUCGCUGUCGUACAACAAAGGGGACUGUUCGUUUGAGGAGCGUUUGCUGUCGGGCACCUACAACGUGUACUGGUCGGAGAGGCACGAGGCUCCGGUGUCACUGAGCGGCCGAAGGCAACGUGACCACACCAGGGGGAGAGCGUUACCCCCUCUCUCCCAGUUCUUGCCCAUACGGAACAUGCCCCCUAUCCCUCUGGAUCCAGACGAGGAAUCGUGGCUAAUGCCUGAACACCCCCCUUCACUCAUCCAGACGAAUAGCAUGGACCCCCUCGAAUUCACCUACGAUGCCACAUGAGAACGUGCUGCCUGGCAGCUGUACAGAACCUUCCUGAGUGUUGUCUAUCUGAGCUCAGUUUAGUUUAUUGUCACCUGUGCCCAGGUACAGUGGAAAGCUUUUGUUGCAUGCUGGCCAGUCAGCGGAAAGACAAUGCAUGAUAAACAUGGAACCAUCCACAGUGUACAGAUACAUGAUAAAGAGAAUGAUGUGAAUGAUAUUUAGUGCAAGAUAAAGUUCAGAAAAGUCUGAUCAAAGAUUGUCCGAGGGUCUCCGAUGAGGUAGAUAGUAGUUCAGGACCGCUCCCUAGUUGUGGUAGGAUGGUUCAGUUGCCUGAUAACAGCUGGGAAGAAACUGCCCCUGAAUCUGGAGGUGUGCGUUUUCACACUUCCGUACCUCAUGCCUGAUGGGAGAGGGGGGAAGAGGGAGUGGCCAGGGUGCGACUCGUCCUUGAUUAUGCUGCUGGCCUUGUCGAGGCAGGGUGAGAUGUAGAUGGAGUUUUGUGUGAUGGUCUGGGCUGCGUCCACAAGCUCUGCAAUUUCUUGCGGUCUUGGGUGGAGCUGUUCCCAAACCCAUGCUGUGAUGGACGGGUUGACUGUUUACAGUUCGAUCUAUACUCUGAUCACUUUCCCUUCAUAUGGCCCCGUUAACCAGGACUUUACAUUCAGGUGAAGUAGGCCCCUAAAUGACAGCCAUGUUUUAGAAGGCAUUCCUUUGACUCUGUUGGUAGACAGAAAUGCUGGAGAAACUCAGCGGGUGAGUGAAUCUAUGGAGUGAAGGAAAUAGGCAACGUUUCGGGCCAAAACCUUUCUGCAGACUGAUGUGAGGGUGGGGGGAAGAAGAACGGAAGAGGAGGAGCCAGUGGGCUAGAGGGCGAGCUGAGAAGGGGAGGAGACAGCAGGGACUACCUGAAAUUAGAGAAGUCAAUGUUCAUACCGCUGGGGCACAAACUGCCCAAGCGAAAUAUAAGGUGCUGCUCCUCCAAUUUACGGUGGUCCUCACUCUGACCAUGGAGGAGGCCCAGGACAGGAAGGUCGGAUUCGGAAUGGGAGGGGGAGUUGAAGUGCUGAGCCACCGGGAGAUCAGGUUGGUUAUUGCGAACCGAGCGGAGGUGUUCGGCGAAGCGAUCGCCAAGCCUACGCUUGGUCUCACGGAUGUAGAGCAGCUGACAUCUAGAGCAGUGGAUGCAAUAGAUACAAAGGGGUUCCUUCUUAACCCUUGACUCUCUUGUUUAUUUUGACUCCAAUCCAAAUGAAGUAUUGGAGCAAGUUGCCCACAGACCUGACGACAGGUCACCGUUUCUCCAGCACUUUUGUCUACCAUUGUAUAAAGGUUCAUGUCUUCUAUUUAAACUAUCUUGCAAAUCCUUCCUAUGAAGAGAAAGACACAUGAGUGUAUUAUGCAAGGAGGAGAGAUAGAAGGCAGAGUUUAAGCCUCCACCCUAAACUCCCACCCUCCACUAGACAUCUCUGUUACUAAGAUAUGGUGAUUACAGAGCCAGCCUUAUCAUCAGUGGCUGUUCUGCAGGAAGAUAACGGAGACAGAUUCGGCAGAUUUCAAGGAUGCAAUACAAGUAUCAUAUCUGAUGAAAGAGUAGAAUGACUUUAAAAACGACAUCCACACUAACCAGAACUGCAGUUUAGUUUAGUUUAGAGAUACAGCGCGGAAACAGGCCCUUCGGCUCACCGAGUCCAUGCCGACCAGCGAUCCCCGCAUAGUAACAUUAUCCCACACACACACACCACACACAAUUUAAAUUUAUAGAAUAUACAAUUUAUAGAAAGCCAAUUAACCAACAAACCUGUAAGUCUUUGGAGUGUGGGAGGAAACCGAAGAUCUCUGAGAAAUCCCACGCUGGUCACGGGGAUAGCGUACAAACUUCGUACAGACGGCACCUGCAGUCAAGAUCAAACCUGGGUCUCUGGCACUGAAAGCGCUGGAAGGUAGCAACUCUACCACCGUGCCACCCCAGCUUCAAGAAAAAUGCACAAGCUUGAAUUUGAUAAUGAGAUUGAAUUUUGAAUUUGAAUUCGAAUGCAAGUUUGAAUUUGGAUUUAAAUGUGAAAUGCACAAGUUUAAAUUUCAAUAUGAGUUUGAAUUUCAAUUUGAAAUUGCACAAUUAUGAAUCUGAAGGAAAUCCACAUCAAAAAAAAUUGAUUGUAAAUUCACCCAAAGAUGCACUUGACCAUUACUAUGGUAUUUAAAAUUAACUUAUUGAGUACUAUUUCCUUCUAUUUUGUUACUUUAUUUAUGUAUACAUAUUUAUAUGUUUAUCAAAUGUUGUGUAAUUUAGUGAAGUGAACUAUGUUUUGUAGAGAGCUGAAGAUGUACAUGUUUUUUUUGCUUGAAUGAUUACUAAGUAAAUUGAAUCAAAUCACCUGCAGUUAUAUGUAAGAUAUGUGGAGU